UACGUAGGGUGCGAGCGUUAAUCGGAAUUACUGGGCGUAAAGCGUGCGCAGGCGGUUCGUUGUGUCUGUGGUGAAAGCCCCGGGCUUAACCUGGGAAUGGCCAUGGAAACUGGCGAGCUGGAGUGUGGCAGAGGGGGGUGGAAUUCCGCGUGUAGCAGUGAAAUGCGUAGAGAUGCGGAGGAACACCGAUGGCGAAGGCAGCCCCCUGGGCUGAGAUUGACGCUCAGGCACGAAAGCGUGGGGAGCAACAGG
rnacentral:rRNA from 1 species